rnacentral:rRNA from 1 species
GACAUGUGUGCGCUGGUGUUUAGCGGUCUGCGCUCAAAAGAGUGUUACGACAUGCGACAUCGGUGCCGUAAAAUCUUCAACUGGAUCGUGUCUGGUCUUGAUUGACUGGGCGCUGUUCAUUCGGUUGAUCGUUUACUGUGAGAAAAUUAGAGUGUUCAAGGCAGGCAUUAUUGCAAUUGAAUAUGUUAGCAUGGAAUAAUAAGAUAGGGCUCCGGCUCAUAUUUUGUUGGUUUCUAGAGCGUGGGAGUAAUGAUUGAUAGGGACAGUUGGGGGUGCUAGUAUUCAGCGGCCAGAGGUGAAAUUCAUGGAUUCGCUGAAGACUGACUUAUGCGAAAGCAUU